rnacentral:tRNA from 1 species
AUUCUUUCAGUAUAUCGCGUAUAAAUGCUUUCCACGCAUAAGGAUUAAGGACACUUAAAAAGAAUA